CACUAGUAUGAGUUAAAGCUGCCAGCGUGAUCUAAACGUUUCUUCUUUGAGGAACGAUAAGAUCACCUGGUUGCUUCAUCUAAUGCUGGU
rnacentral:miRNA from 1 species